GCCAAGGUGGCGGAGUGGCUUACGCAAUCGCCUGCAGAGCGAUGUGACCCCGGUUCGAAUCCGGGCCUUGGCU
rfam:Methanohalobium evestigatum Z-7303, complete genome.